ensembl:rRNA 5S_rRNA 5S ribosomal RNA
AAAGCGCCUAAUCUCAUCUGAUCUCAGAAGCUAAG